UACGGGGGGUGCGAGCGUUGUCCGGAAUUACUGGGCGUAAAGCGUGCGCAGGCGGUUUUGUAAGCCAGAUGUGAAAUCCCCGGGCUUAACCUGGGAAUGGCAUUUGGGACUGCAAGGCUAGAGUGCGGCAGAGGGGACUGGAAUUCCUGGUGUAGCAGUGAAAUGCGUAGAUAUCAGGAGGAAUACCGAUGGCGAAGGCAGGUCCCUGGGUUGACACUGACGCUCAUGCACGAAAGCGUGGGGAGCAAACAGG
rnacentral:rRNA from 1 species